ACUGCUCAGUAACACGUGGAUAACCUGCCCUCAGGUCCGGCAUAACCUCGGGAAACUGAGGAUAAUUCCGGAUAUCCCUUUUCUGCUGGAAGGCUUAAAGGGACAAAGAAUUUCGCCUGAGGAUGGGUCUGCGGCCUAUCAGGUUGUAGGGGGUGUAACGUACCCUCUAGCCGACAACGGGUACGGGUUGUGAGAGCAAGAGCCCGGAGAUGGAUUCUGAGACAUGAAUCCAGGCCCUACGGGGCGCAGCAGGCGCGAAAACUUUACAAUGCAGGAAACUGUGAUAAGGGAACACCGAGUGCUCGCAUCAAAUGCGGGCUGUCCACAUACCUAAAUCGUAUGUGUUAGCAAGGGCCGGGCAAGACCGGUGCCAGCCGCCGCGGUAAUACCGGUGGCCCGAGUGGUAGCCGCUUUUAUUGGGUCUAAAGGGUCCGUAGCCUGUCUGAUCAGUCCAUUGGGAAAUCCGGAUGCUCAACAUCCGGGCUUCCAGUGGAUACUGUCAGACUUGGGAUCGGGGGAGGUAAGAGGUACUACA
rnacentral:rRNA from 1 species